UUCCGGUUGAUCCUGCCGGACCCGACUGCUAUUUGGGUGAGAAUAAGCCAUGCGAGUUGAAUGGGAUACCUAAAGUUCCCAUAGCAAACUGCUCAGUAACACAUGAUCAACUUACCCUAUAGAGAAAAAUAACCUCGGGAAACUGAGGAUAAUGUUUCAUAAUUGAAUUGGCUUGGAAAAGUUUUUCAAUGAAAGGGAUAAAAAAAAUGGUUUUUAUCUGCUAUAGGAUAGGAUCGUGUUCGAUUAUGGUUGUUGGUGAGAUAAUGGCUCACCAAGCCGAUAAUCGAUAGGGGCCGUGAGAGCGGGAGCCCCGAGAUGGGUACUGAGACAACGACCCAGGCCUUACGAGGCGCAGCGGGCGCGGAACCUCCGCAAUACACGAAAGUGUGACGGGGUUACCCAAAGUGUUCAAUAGAACUGUGGUAGGUGAGUAAUGUCCCCUACUAGAAAGGAGAGGGCAAGGCUGGUGCCAGCCGCCGCGGUAAAACCAGCUCUUCAAGUGGUCGGGAUAAUUAUUGGGCUUAAAGUGUCCGUAGCCGGUUUAGCAAGUUCCUGGUAAAAUCGGGUAGCUUAACUAUCUGCAUGCUAGGAAUACUGUUAUACUAGAGGGCGGGAGAGGUCUGAGGUACUACAGGGGUAGGGGUGAAAUCUUAUAAUCCUUGUAGGACCACCAGUGGCGAAGGCGUCAGACUGGAACGCGCCUGACGGUGAGGGACGAAAGCCAGGGGAGCGAACCGGAUUAGAUACCCGGGUAGUCCUGGCCGUAAACGAUGCAUACUAGGUGAUGGUACGGCCAUGAGCCGUAUCAGUGCCGUAGGGAAACCGUUAAGUGUGCCGCCUGGGAAGUACGGUCGCAAGGCUAAAACUUAAAGGAAUUGGCGGGGGAGCACCACAAGGGGUGAAGCCUGCGGUUCAAUUGGACUCAACGCCGGGA
rnacentral:rRNA from 1 species